rnacentral:rRNA from 1 species
GAUGAACGCUGGCGGCGUGCUUAACACAUGCAAGUCGAGCGAAGCACUUAAGUUUGAUUCUUCGGAUGAGGACUUUUGUGACUGAGCGGCGGACGGGUGAGUAACGCGUGGGUAACCUGCAUUAUACAGGGGGAUAACAGUUAGAAAUGGCUGCUAAUACCUCAUAAGACCACAGUACUGCAUGGUACAGUGGUAAAAACUCCGGUGGUAUGAGAUGUACCCGCGUCUGAUUAGGUAGUUGGUGAGGUAACGGCCCACCAAGCCGACGAUCAGUAGCCGACCUGAGAGGGUGACCGGCCACAUUGGGACUGAGACACGGCCCAGACUCCUACGGGAGGCAGCAGUGGGGAAUAUUGCACAAUGGGCGAAAGCCUGAUGCAGCGACGCCGCGUGAAGGAUGAAGUAUUUCGGUAUGUAAACUUCUAUCAGCAGGGAAGAAAAUGACGGUACCUGACUAAGAAGCCCCGGCUAACUACGUGCCAGCCGCCGCCGUAA